UGGGGAAUAUUGGACGAUGGGCGCAAGCCUGAUCCAGCCAUACCGCGUGGGCGAAGAAAGCCUUCGGGUUGUAAAGCCCUUUUGUUGUGAAAGAAAUCCUAUUGGUCAAUAACCGGUGGGGAUGACGGUACCCAAAGAAUAAGCACCGGCUAACUUCGUGCCAGCAGCCGCGGUAAUACGCAGGGUGCAAGUGUUACUCGGAAUUACUGGGCGUAAAGCGUUCGUAGGUUGUGGUUUAAGUCUGCUGUGAAAGCCCUGGGCUCAACCUGGGAAUUGCAGUGGAUACUGGAUCACUAGAGUGUAGUAGAGGGAUGCGGAAUUUCUGGUGUAGCAGUAACAUGCGUAGAGAUCAGAAAGAACAUCCGUGGCGAAGGCGGCAUCCUGGGACUACACUGACACUGAGGCACGAAAGCGUGAGGAGCAAACA
rnacentral:rRNA from 1 species